rnacentral:lncRNA from 1 species
GCUACCUUUAUUUGCUUUAGUAUAUGUCUAGGUUUGGAGUAGUUUCAUUUAUCUCCUAAUUAAGCAUGGUGCUUAGUUUAGGAAUGAUGAUCUUACUUCCAAGGGACCUUAAAUUAAGCAUGGUGCUUAGGUUAAAAUGCCCUCCUAAAUCAAAUUAGACAUGGUGUCUAGGUUGAUUUUUGAGCCGAUAGUAUGCUAUAGUAGAUAUUGGAUAUUUUGUUGGACUAACCCCUGCGAAAGGAAAGCUUCCACAAGGUGAUACUGUACCAUCACUCUUCAAGUAAGGUAACAUCUUAAGGUACCUGACUAUCACUUUUAUAAGCUUCUCCUUGGUUCUGGCGUCCACAUGAAUAAAAGAGACAAACAUGUAUGAUUUACAACUCUAGAUUAACCAACCCAAUCGAUUCAAUAUGUUUAGUCCUUCCACCUUUAUGAUCCCACACUCCAAAUCAUAUGAGCUAAAAUGUUGCACACGUAAUCUUUGGAAUAUAUAUAAAAAACAUAAGUAUAGAUAGAUUAUCUUUCUAUUAGGUUGAGCGAUCCGAUCUGACAAAUGUUUAAAAUGCUACACUCAUGAUCUUAUUAUCCAUCAACUUUGUCUUGCUCACUAUGUUUAAGGUUAGAGAAGAACAAAUACACUUUUGGUUCUGUUGGUGUUUUCCACCAACAGGGCCCAUGCAAUUGAUCUCUGCCUCGUAUCUAUGAGCAGGUACACUUGGAGCAAAACAUGGAGGUGUUUUACAACUCCUAGACUCCACAAAGUGAAGGACCUGGAUCUACGAGCACAAACAUACUGAGCAGGAUGCUGCCAACGCCGCACUUCGAACUGCUGGGCAAACGAAGAACAUGGGUGACACCGUAUCAAGAGGUGCAGACGUCAAGGUCCACACCUAAAUCAAAUGACGCACCUAAAGAAUGAACACGGUGAGAAGUCUUGUUCAGAUGACUUAAAACAUUGAACCCUCGCCGAAAGGUAAAAUCGGUAGUUAUCCAUAUUUAUCCUUUCAGCAUUCCCUUUUCCCUUAAAUUAUUUACUUUCGUUAAAUGGCUUGUUAGUUAAUCAUGCUAUCUUGAAAAGAAAAUAAAAAUAUUAAAAAUAGUAAGCCCCAUGUGAGUAUGCUCAUGGCAUAAAACCCAUAAGUACAUUCACUGUGGUGGCGUAAAAAUAAAAUAAAUAUAUUAUUGUCCUAUAAAAAUGAAAAUAUAAAAAUAAAUUUAUGAUCCUACCAAAGAGAGUAAUAUUUAUUAGAGGAAGCUCAACAUGAUAACGGCUAAGAGAUUUUAUGCUAACACUUAACCAGUUCCACAAAGCUUUGUUGUUUAUUUGAGCUCCACAGAAUUCAAGGAUCAAAGAAAAUUAGCAGACAAAGGACAUCCUGAUCGCUGUCAGGGUGCUGCUGACAUUCAAAUACACCUCCGCCACCUGCUAGCUAAAUCAGAAGAAAUUACGUCAAAAUCCAGCUUGCGGGAGAGCACCCGCAUUUAUCCACCUAAGUGUUCUACUCACGUUUAUACUUUACUCAAAUAAUAAAAUGAUGCAUGAUCAUAAAAGCCCAAAUAAAGAUUUUGUGCUUAUAUAUAUAUCUUUGCUUAGUUUGCUAAAUAUCGGUAGAAUAAAAUUAUUAACCAAUCCCUGUUAUUCCCCAUGAAAUAAAUGCUCAAGAUAUUUUGGUUACUACCACUUGCUACAUUAUUCUAGGAGGGUGAGUGCUCUGAAAAAAGUGAAUACGAGGAAAUAAAAAGGGGCAAGUGCCCGAAACCUCGAGAAAAAAAAGAGAAAAAAGUGAGACGAGGGGUAAAAAUGGACAAGUGUCCGACAGUAGAAUUAGGUGUACAAGAUACCCACCUGAGAGAAAAGAAAAAUAAAAUAUAGAGCAUCUCAUUCCACUCAAGAGCCUCAAGUGCAAGGAAGGUAUGUACCCCCUUAAAAGAGCAAAAGUAGAAUUAGACUUUAACCAUUACUUUCACCAUUAUCACCAUUCAUUCGCCACACAUGCACAUCUUGAUUUGACUUAUUGACUUGUUCUUCUGGAUCCAUGGUUUGACUAUGCAAUAAAUGUCUUGUAAGUAUGUAUUAGCUGUCUCCCACCUAUGAGCUCCAGAUAUCAAAACCUUAUUAGAGUAGGGUGAGAGAGAAGGCAAUGCCACUAUGCCUCAUACCAAAAAUACCACAUACUUUGAGAGAAGGCAUACACCAUUACUGCCUUGGUAAGGAUCCAUAAAUACCACAAAAGAGAGACUAGAGAGUCAUACAAGGAAUCUCUGAGUUUUAUUUGAAAUUCUGCAAAAACACCAGAGCUAUAGUUAAUAGAAGAACAAGAGAGAUGGUGCUUGACUAGACCGUUCUAUCUUUUAACUGCUCAAGACACAAGUGACGGUUGCAAGCCCCAUGGUGGAAGGUAAAAUGAGUAAGUUUAAAUCUUAACAGUUUACCCUAACCCAGAGAUGAGAUCUUGUUUGAACGCAUGUGUACCUUUAAGGCAUGAAACCAUUGCAGAAACUCUUGAGUCCAUCCUUGCUCAGGGACGAGCAAAGGUGUUGAUGCAAAAGCGGAUCUACAAACAUAAAGGGCUAAUACCCGAUUCAAACGUUAAGGCAUGCCAGCCGAUUUGACCUCACUAUCGGCAAAGGUGAUAACUCGAAUACUUUAGUCCUGACAACAGCGAUGCGCCC